ACACUCUCGUUUCUCUUCAGAUCGCAUAAAUCUUUCGCCUUUUACUAAAGAUUUCCGUGGAGAGGAACAACAAGAGUUAGAUUUAAUUUUUUGAUGCCCUGCUGUUCUGCGGGGCU